rnacentral:rRNA from 1 species
UGGGGAAUAUUGCACAAUGGGCGGAAGCCUGAUGCAGCGACGCCGCGUGGGGGAUGACGGCCUUCGGGUUGUAAACUCCUUUCGACAGGGACGAAGCUUUUUGUGACGGUACCUGUAUAAGAAGCACCGGCUAACUACGUGCCAGCAGCCGCGGUAAUACGUAGGGUGCGAGCGUUGUCCGGAAUUACUGGGCGUAAAGAGCUCGUAGGUGGUUUGUCGCGUCGUCUGUGAAAUUCCGGGGCUUAACUCCGGGCGUGCAGGCGAUACGGGCAUAACUUGAGUGCUGUAGGGGAGACUGGAAUUCCUGGUGUAGCGGUGAAAUGCGCAGAUAUCAGGAGGAACACCGAUGGCGAAGGCAGGUCUCUGGGCAGUAACUGACGCUGAGGAGCGAAGGUGCGGGGAGCAAACAGG